rnacentral:tRNA from 1 species
AAGAAAAAUAUAAAAAGAUUUCUAAUCUUUACAUUAGCUUUUAGCUUUUUUCUUU